AAAAUAGUAGGUGGUUCCAAAACCAAUCAAAGGACAGCGCAAAUCGAGACUGUAAAUCUGUCAAGAUGAAAAAAUAGUAGGUGGUUCCAAAACCAAUCAAAGGACAGCGCAAAUCGAGACUGUAAAUCUGUCAAGAUGAAAAAAUAGUAGGUGGUUCCAAAACCAAUCAAAGGACAGCUCAAAUCGAGACUGUAAAUCUGUCAAGAUGAAAAAAUAGUAGGUGGUUCCAAAACCAAUCAAAGGACAGCUCAAAUCGAGACUGUAAAUCUGUCAAGAUGAAAAAAUAGUAGGUGGUUCCAAAACCAAUCAAAGGACAGCGCAAAUCGAGACUGUAAAUCUGUCAAGAUGAAAAAAUAGUAGGUGGUUCCAAAACCAAUCAAAGGACAGCUCAAAUCGAGACUGUAAAUCUGUCAAGAUGAAAAAAUAGUAGGUGGUUCCAAAACCAAUCAAAGGACAGCGCAAAUCGAGACUGUAAAUCUGUCAAGAUGAAAAAAUAGUAGGUGGUUCCAAAACCAAUCAAAGGACAGCUCAAAUCGAGACUGUAAAUCUGUCAAGAUGAAAAAAUAGUAGGUGGUUCCAAAACCAAUCAAAGGACAGCGCAAAUCGAGACUGUAAAUCUGUCAAGAUGAAAAAAUAGUAGGUGGUUCCAAAACCAAUCAAAGGACAGCUCAAAUCGAGACUGUAAAUCUGUCAAGAUGAAAAAAUAGUAGGUGGUUCCAAAACCAAUCAAAGGACAGCGCAAAUCGAGACUGUAAAUCUGUCAAGAUGAAAAAAUAGUAGGUGGUUCCAAAACCAAUCAAAGGACAGCUCAAAUCGAGACUGUAAAUCUGUCAAGAUGAAAAAAUAGUAGGUGGUUCCAAAACCAAUCAAAGGACAGCGCAAAUCGAGACUGUAAAUCUGUCAAGAUGAAAAAAUAGUAGGUGGUUCCAAAACCAAUCAAAGGACAGCUCAAAUCGAGA